AAGAAGAAUAUUAAACAAAUAAGCCGCUAACUUAAUUUAAAGUAUAAAAUACUAUAUUCUUU
rnacentral:tRNA from 1 species